GGCUUGCCACGGAGUCGAGCGGCGAACGGGUGAGUAACGCGUGGAUACCUGCCUCUGGAUGGGGGAUAACCCGGGGAAACCCGGACUAAUACCGCAUAACAUUGAGAGAUCAAAGGGGGCCGCAAGGCUCCUGUCUGGAGAGGGGUCCGCGUCCGAUUAGCUAGUUGGUAGGGUAAUGGCCUACCAAGGCGACGAUCGGUAGCCGGCCUGAGAGGGUGAUCGGCCACACUGGAACUGAGACACGGUCCAGACUCCUACGGGAGGCAGCAGUGGGGAAUUUUGCGCAAUGGGGGAAACCCUGACGCAGCAACGCCGCGUGGAGGAUGAAGGCCCUUGGGUUGUAAACUCCUGUCAGCAGGGAAAAAGGUGAGCGGGUUAAUACCCUGGUUACUUGAUUGUACCUGCAGAGGAAGCCCCGGCUAACUCUGUGCCAGCAGCCGCGGUAAUACAGAGGGGGCGAGCGUUAUUCGGAAUUAUUGGGCGUAAAGGGCGCGUAGGUGGCUUUGUAAGCGGAAGGUGAAAUCCCUCGGCUCAACCGAGGAACUGCCCUCCGAACUGCGGAGCUUGAGUCCGGGAGAGGUGAGUGGAAUUCCCAGUGUAGCGGUGAAAUGCGUAGAUAUUGGGAGGAACACAGUGGCGAAGGCGGCUCACUGGACCGGAACUGACGCUGAGGCGCGAAAGCGUGGGGAGCAAACAGAUAGAUACCCUGGUAGUCCACGCUGUAAACGAUGA
rnacentral:rRNA from 1 species